UUACACAUUUUUAAUAAUUCUUAAUUUAUAUGACAUAAUUAAAAGUUUCUUUUACAUGACAUCAUGCGAACUUACUCAAUCGAAGUUUACAUUCCUUAUCAUGCAAAUUGAUCAGCUGUAAAAAUAGUCGAAAACUACAUUCUGUGGACCAGUAAUAUAUAAUUGCGCGAUAUGAAGUAAACUUUGUCCUUGACACACAUGCAAACUACCGUGGUUAACGAGCAAACGGGAUUACGAAUCUCGAAAUGUAUAAUUUAAGCACAAUCAACUCGAAACCUUGUAAUAAUAUCUAACUCCAUCUGUGCCACGUUCAAGGCGUGAGAUACGCGCAGAUAUCGUGAGUGACGGUACUACUUCAUGAUUUGACGUCAGCAUCAGAGCUUUUCAUAUUGGAGAGGAAGCCUACUUUCUUCAUCACGUUAUAAAUCUUCGUACAUGUCUUGUCGACCAAAUAUUCCCAGUUAGCUUGCCCUUUUCAUAAUCUGACGUACUCCCGUUCAAACUCAUCUGUCUCCACAGACAUUCUCGCGAUUACUGAGGGUGUCCAACUAAAAGCAACUUCACUAUGAUUGAUUUACUCUUUUUACUUGGGUGAGAUGAGCAGACUUACCCCCGUUGCUCAAACGAGAAAUAAAGAGGUCAUUUAUGGUCCGAGAAGCGAGAAUGUACAUCGCUACGACGAAGGAUGAAUCUGAGGAGCUAGUGACCACCAAUUUGCUGAACAGAUUCUUGAGCAUCGAACCACAACUCUGCGACAUGAUCGACAUAAUACAAAACCAAAAGCAUUUCCUCAAAUUCGCGAAACGUGGAUAUUUCCCGGGUACAUUUCCGUAGUAUGCAAGAGCGGAUAAUUCUCGAACACAUAUAUAUCUACCAAGAUCGACGUGACAAGAAACACUGUAGAGAAAUUUAGACGUGGUGAUCGCGAGGAUCGUGAGAAAAGGUAGUAAUACAGUGGUCACUUGGGCUUUCAAUCGUGAUACCGUUAUCUUUGCAGUAUAGGUGAAGUGAACUACCUAUUCACGAGGGAAGAGAAUCUUUAGAAUGUAUGUAUAGCUUCUGAAGAUACAUAUCAAGCAUUGAACG